rnacentral:rRNA from 1 species
AUGGAACAUGACCACACAUGCACGCUUUGUGGAGUUGAGAAGGAGACCGCUCACCAUGCACUGGUCCGUUGCCCCCAUGCAAUGGCGUUAUGGCAGGCCAUGCGUGAGACCUGGGAACUCCCAACUCAGGACCAGCUGCACGAUGCCGAGCCGGACUGGUUGUUCCGGCUGUUAGAAAAACUCCCAGAUACACAGAAGAUGGCCUCGCUGAUGAUUAUGUGGAGGAUAUGGUAUGCACGAAAGGAGAUCACACAUCACAAGCCCCCGAUUCCGAUUGAAGCUUCGCGCCGAUUUUUAACCAGCUACAUCACUUCCCUCAUCGCGAUUAGGCAACAUCCAGAAGCAGAUUCGGUGAAAGGUAAACAAGUACUUAAUAUUUCUGGGUACAAACCUCCUGCUGUACAUGAAAUAAGGCCGAAGCCGCGUUGGGAACCUCCUGACAGAGAAUAUGCAAAACUGAACAUUGACGGGGCGUUUGCCAAGGCGGAUGGUACUGCCGGUGCCGGGAUGAUACUGCGAGACCAUGAGGGUGCGGUCAUCUUCGCCGCGACACGUGCGCUGUUCAAUUGUGGUGAUGCCCUCGAAGCUGAGAUGGCUGUGAUGAAGGAAGGACUACAGUUGGCCCUUCACUGGACAAACCAAUCACUGCUUGUGGAGACGGACUGUGCUGAAUUGUUGCAAAUGAUCAGUGCGCGAGGCGUGGAUAGGUCUAGGUAUGCAUACUGGAUUAGUGAGAUCAGAAAUAUUCUGUCUCAUGAGAGGAACAUAAGUCUAGCUAAGAUUAGCCGACAUGCAAACAUGGUUAUGUUGGGGAACGUAGUAAUUUCAAAAAAUUUCCUACGUACACGCAAGAUCAUGGUGAUGUACAGCAACGAGAGGGGAGAGUGUGAUCUACGUACCCUUGUAGACCGACAACGAAAGCGUUAG